UUGGAGGGCAAGUCUGGUGCCAGCAGCCGCGGUAAUUCCAGCUCCAAUAGCGUAUAUUAAAGUUGUUGCAGUUAAAAAGCUCGUAGUUGAAUUUCGGGAUCAAAUUGUCGGUCGUGCCUCGGUACGCACUGGUAUUAUUGGUUCCUACCUUCUGAAGAACCGCGAUGUCAUUAAUUUGGUGUCGUGGGGAAUCAGGACUGUUACUUUGAAAAAAUUAGAGUGUUUAAAGCAGGCUUACGCUUGGAUACAUUAGCAUGGAAUAAUGAAAUAGGACGUUUGAUUCUAUUUUGUUGGUUUCUAGGAUUGACGUAAUGAUUAAUAGGGAUAGUUGGGGGCAUUAGUAUUCAAUUGUCAGAGGUGAAAUUCUUGGAUUUAUUGAAGACUAACUACUGCGAAAGCAUUUGCCAAGGAUGUUUUCAUUAAUCAAGAACGAGAGUUAGGGGAUCGAAGACGAUUAGAUACCGUCGUAGUCUUAACCAUAAACUAUGCCGACUAGGGAUCGGAUGAUGUUAAUUUUUUAAUGACUCAUUCGGCGCCUUACGGGAAACCAAAGUGUUUGGGUUC
rnacentral:rRNA from 1 species